UGAUUCAGAUUUUAGAUUAUGGGAGAUGAUCCACAAAAGCCGAGCUAUAUGGUCGGGACAACGGGAUGUCGGAGCAGAGGGUUUAGUUUUUUCAAAACAAAGGGACGUCGGACUACUGGGCUGUUGGACCAAAGGGAAUUUUUUGGGUUAUUGAGAGGAUGGGAAUAAUGGAGC